rnacentral:sRNA from 1 species
ACAUCAUGGUCAGACCUUUAUGAUAGGUU